UGAUGAACUUCUGUCCGUGUCUUUGUUAGUUGGUAGCUCGUUUAGUCCCCAUGGGCGAGGUAAUAAUAAUUAUUUUUCUUUUCGUCGUUACUAUUGGUUACUCUUUGACACAAUUAUAAUUUUUUUAACUAGGUCAUUUUAUUCAUUUUAGCACAAGGUACAUAAAAUCCAAAUAAUCAUUUUUUAAUUCAACGACUUUGAGGUAAACAUUGGCAUGGUAAAUGACAUUGGCCUCAAUUGUGAGCACUUGUGUGUUCAAAAUUAGUACCUUUGGAUCCAAUUCCUGGACAUUUGUCCUUUUGUUCAAAACACCUGUUUGGAAUUAUAAACAAUUUUGGUAAGUGUUUAAUUAUGAUCCAAGUCAGGCUCAUGUUAAGGACUGUUUGUAUUUAAAUGAGAACUUUGGGCUGUAAGUUAGCCUUUACCAAUUUGUGUGCUAAACUCAGUGUUUGUCCAAAAACAUGACAUUCCAACAGCCUUUUCCGUAUCACAAAUAUCUGAUUGAUUUUACUGUGGAAAGUGACACUUUUCAAAGUAGGUUUCAGCAUCAUUGGUUGGAUUAAUCAAAAACUUUGUUAGUUAUGGUAAUAUUGUUGUCAUUUUUUAGAUCCCUUCUGUCAGUCGGGAAAUACUGAUAAUUCAGCUCUCAUUAAAAGGAAAUUUUCUAGUCAAACUUGACAUGUAAAUGGCUCUUUCAAUUGAACCACAGUAAACAAAAUUUAAUUCAAGAUUGUAAACAGAGGAUACUGAUAAUCACCAGGGCUUAUGGUUGAUUAGUAAAUAAUGAUUUUGGUUUUAUGGGUAGAGUGUUGGCAAAGACAGGUAGAAGAUAUAAGAUAGCUCAACUCUAACAAUAAUAAUGGUGAAAACCCAUGGACUUCACAAAUGUAAUGGAAAGAUCCACAGGUCUGAAGAUUGAAACUUGAUAUGAUAUAUUUCCUGAAAGGAUUGGCCCACUUCAAAGAUGUGCAAUCCAUGUUAUUACAGAUACUAAUAUUGUAGCUGAUCCACAGACCGUCGAGUAACUGGGCGGCUGCCGUGCUGAUCAAGCCACUAUCCUCUAUUAACCAGACUGUUGAAAUCUGAGAGCAUAUCUCCACUUUCACGUCUUUACAUCAAUCGGUAGAAGAAGUAGUUUGAAAAAUAAUAUCAGUCGUAGCUCAGUGGAAGGCAAUGGCUGUGCAAUCAUUAACUCUUGGGUACGAUCCCCAUGUAGAUUGUGUUGAAAUGUUGUUUACUUUGAUAGAAUGUAAAUGCACCUUGAAGUGGUGUGGAUCAAGUGGAAUAUGGCUAUGUGAAAAAUAAUUGAAAGGAAAAGCUUCAAAUGAAAUUCCAGGAGAUACCCAAAAAGAAACAAAAUCAAAUAUAAAGAUAAUAUGGAUUAAAAACUUUU
rnacentral:lncRNA from 1 species